GGAGAGGUGCGAGAGUUGGUUGAAUCGGGCGGUCUCGAAAACCGCUAGGCCUCACGGCCUCGAGGGUUCGAAUCCCUC
rnacentral:tRNA from 1 species